CACUCCUGCGGGAGGCAGCAGUGGGGAAUAUUGGACAAUGGGCGCAAGCCUGAUCCAGCCAUGCCGCGUGAGUGAUGAAGGCCCUAGGGUUGUAAAGCUCUUUCACCGGUGAAGAUAAUGACGGUAACCGGAGAAGAAGCCCCGGCUAACUUCGUGCCAGCAGCCGCGGUAAUACGAAGGGGGCUAGCGUUGUUCGGAUUUACUGGGCGUAAAGCGCACGUAGGCGGACUAUUAAGUCAGGGGUGAAAUCCCGGGGCUCAACCCCGGAACUGCCUUUGAUACUGGUAGUCUUGAGUUCGAGAGAGGUGAGUGGAAUUCCGAGUGUAGAGGUGAAAUUCGUAGAUAUUCGGAGGAACACCAGUGGCGAAGGCGGCUCACGGGCUCGAUACUGACGCUGAGGUACGAAAGCGUGGGGAGCAAACAGGAUUAGAAACCCUGGUAGUCC
rnacentral:rRNA from 1 species